CUGGAAUAUAGCGCACCGGGCUAUGAGUGCGCACUGGAGACACACUGCACAGAGCCGCAUAACAUGGGGCUUGACUAGUCACACUCUCCCCACGGUAAGCACGAGGAGUUGGCUCAGGUCUCCAAUCUCCUCGUGUCCCCCCCCCCCCCAAUUUUGGGGGGGAGUGGCUUAUCGGGCUUCCGUGCUAGCCGUGUCCCCUCGUAACGCUGGGCCCCCUUUGUCGAUGUGCAUGCAUACUUCUGAUUGUUUUGAUUACGGAUGCAAAGAGCAAUGACGGUAGGUCACGGCAACCUCUCUCCUCUGUUUCGAGUGCAGCUGAGUCUGAACCACAGCCUGCUCCUGUGUGGUAAUAAUCUUGACACAGACACAGACUGCUGUCCUAAGCCACUGUGUAUGCUGUAGACUCUGUGUCUGCCUCACUGCUCAUCCAGGCUAGGAUUUAUGCCCAGGUGUCUCCCACUGAACCCGUGUCUGACAACAAAACAGUCAUUCCCAACCAAGUAUACUGGCCCCUGGGCUCCUGUCCCUGUGACUUCACGUCCCUGUGACCUCACGGUGGGAGCCUGUGAUGUGUGCUGCUGCUGUGACAAGGACUGUUGCCCUGAAGCUGUUUCAUGGCCAGUGUCUUUUGGGGCUCUUUGGACAGAAAGUCUCUCCAGUUCCGUAUUACCUGUGCUAUGCACAGUCUGCUGAAAAAGCCCCCGAUUUGUUCCCAUUGCUCUGCGUCAUCUUGCUGCCUGACAACAAUCCCUUCCUUGGACUUUUUUUAUGAAGGGGACACAGUCUGCUCCAGCACACCAAAGCCCAGGCCAUCUUUCCAAAGUGUAGUGCUGUCAGCUCCACUGCCCACCGAUGACUACCAGCAGCGGGAUCUCUCUCUGUCUCUCUCUGUGUGUCUCUCUCUCUCUCUGUCUGUCUGUCUGUGUUUGUAAGUGAACAGUCAGAACUCUCACAGUAACUGUUAUGUCUAAUUUCUGUCUUAAUCUGUUAGUGGAAUUAAAUAAUUCCUCUAAUGUACUCAUUAAUUAAAUUCAAUCUGUCUAUUUAUAAGAA